rnacentral:rRNA from 1 species
UACAGAGGUGGCAAGCGUUGUUCGGAAUUACUGGGCGUAAAGGGCGCGUAGGCGGCCUACUAAGUCAGACGUGAAAUCCCCCGGCUUAACCUGGGAACUGCGUCUGAUACUGGAAGGCUUGAGGGUGGGAGAGGGAUGUAGAAUUCCAGGUGUAGCGGUGAAAUGCGUAGAUAUCUGGAGGAAUACCGGUGGCGAAGGCGGCAUCCUGGACCAUUACUGACGCUGAGGCGCGAAAGCUAGGGGAGCAAACGGG